GAUGAAGAACGCAGCGAAAUGCGAUAAGUAAUGCGAAUUGCAGAAUUCCGUGAGUCAUCGAAUCUUUGAACGCACAUUGCGCCCCCCAGUAUUCUGGCGGGCAUGCCUGUUCGAGCGUCAUUUCAACCAUCAAGCCCUGCUUGUGUUGGGGUCCUGCGGCUGCCCGCAGGCCCUGAAAACCAGUGGCGGGCUCGCUAGUCACACCGAGCGCAGUAGCACAUCUCGCUCAGGGCGUGCGGCGGGCUCCAGCCGUUAAAGCACCCACCUUUCGCAAGGUUGACCUCGGAUCAGGUAGGAAUACCCGCUGAACUUAAGCAUAUCAAUAAGCGGAGGA
rnacentral:misc_RNA from 1 species